AUUGAACGCUAGCGGGAUGCCUUACACAUGCAAGUCGAACGGAGUGGCGAACGGGUGCGUAAUGUAUCGGACCGUGCCCAGUAGCGGGGGAUAACUACGCGAAAGCGUAGCUAAUACCGCAUACUAUUGGAGCGGCCGAUAUCGGAUUAGCUAGUGGGUGGGGUAACGGCUCACCAAGUCGACGAUCCGUAGCUGGUUUGAGUGGACGACCAGCCACACUGGGACUGUGACGCGGCCCAGACUCCUACGGGAGGCAGCAGUGGGGAAUUUUGGACAAUGGGGGCAACCCUGAUGCAGCCAUCCCGCGUGUGGGAGGAAGGCCUUCGGGUUGUAAAGUACUUUCAGCAGGAAAGCGGUACCCGCAGAAUAAGCACCGGCGAACUACGUGCCAGCAGCCGCGGUAAUAC
rnacentral:rRNA from 1 species